GUAGCUGACAAGGACCUUCUAGAC
rnacentral:piRNA from 1 species